rnacentral:rRNA from 1 species
GUGGGGAAUAUUGGGCAAUGGGCGAAAGCCUGACCCAGCAACGCCGCGUGAAGGAAGAAGGUUUUCGGAUCGUAAACUUCUAUCCUUGGUGAAGAUAAUGACGGUAGCCAAGAAGGAAGCCCCGGCUAACUACGUGCCAGCAGCCGCGGUAAUACGUAGGGGGCAAGCGUUGUCCGGAAUGAUUGGGCGUAAAGGGCGCGUAGGCGGCCAACUAAGUCUGGAGUGAAAGUCCUGCUUUUAAGGUGGGAAUUGCUUUGGAAACUGGAUGGCUUGAGUGCAGGAGAGGUAAGCGGAAUUCCCGGUGUAGCGGUGAAAUGCGUAGAGAUCGGGAGGAACACCAGUGGCGAAGGCGGCUUACUGGACUGUAACUGACGCUGAGGCGCGAAAGUGUGGGGAGCAAACAGGAUUAGAAACCCGAGUAGUCC